rnacentral:tRNA from 1 species
GCAGUGGUGGCCGAGUGGUUAAGGCGAUAGACUAGAAAUCCAUUGGGGUCUCCCCGCACAGGUUCGAAUCCUGUCGACUGCG